rnacentral:misc_RNA from 1 species
GAUGAAGAACGUAGCGAAAUGCGAUAGGUAGUGUGAAUUGCAGAAUUCAGUGAAUCAUCGAAUCUUUGAACGCACAUUGCGCCCCUUGGUAUUCCAUGGGGCAUGCCUGUUCGAGCGUCAUUUGUACCUUCAAGCUUUGCUUGGUGUUGGGUGUUUGUCUCGCCUUUGCGUGUAGACUCGCCUUAAAAUAAUUGGCAGCCGGCGUAUUGAUUUCGGAGCGCAGUACAUCUCGCGCUUUGCACUCAUAACGACAGCGUCCAAAAGUACAUUUUACACUCUUGACCUCGGAUCAGGUAGGGAUACCCGCUGAACUUAAGCAUAUCAAUAAGCGGAGGA